rnacentral:tRNA from 1 species
GCGGGGGUAACUCAAUUGGCAGAGUCACAGCCUUCCAAGCUGUUGGUUGCGAGUUCGAACCUCGUCCCCCGCU